AUGCUUAGAGAAGCUUUCCUAAUUGAUCUUCUGUACAAAGAACAGAAAUAUGCAAAAUUUUGCAAACCAUUUACAUGUAAGAAGACUGAAAAGGAAACUUGGAAAAAGAAGAUUUUAGAUAGAGAAGAAAAUUCACUUUCCUCUGCUAAGAUGGAAAAUCAAGAAACAACUAGGAAAGAAAGUGUAACAGAGCAAAAUGAUGAUACAGAUCAAAUAAAAUCUGUGGAUGAGACAACUGUAGCAAAAUGCAAAGGUAUUACCUCUUCCAGGAAAUGUGUCAGUUGCGUUGCCCAUUUCAAAGAGAGAAAAACAUGAUCAAAGACAACUAGAUUUAUAUAGAUCCUGGUUGUGUAUGAGUAUUUGUCACAAUUAUUCUGACCUACAGAUUGGAGGUGACGAUGUGAGGAACAUGUGUGAUUCAGGCUGCUUUACGGAACACACACAUAAUGAUGUUUUUAAUGGUCCCCUUUUGUUUUCAGUUGGUAGGCCACUGGGUCAUUCUCCUGUCAUUGGGCCUCUAGAGACAUUACCUACCUCAAAAUUAUUGAAUGGGGAUGAAAGCCAAGAAAAAAGUAUGUUGUUUCAUAAACAGCCCCUCUCUAAUUCUAUGCUUAAUACUUAUAUGGAAAGAAAGGUGGACUAGCUCUGCAAACAAUUAUUGGAAGAAAAUCUCACCAGAUGCCACUCUGUAACCAAUCUUAUGGCUUCCAAUUUGCUAAUGAAUAAUGUAAAUUACAUCAGCUUUCAAAUCUCUCAAGAGCAGAACAUUGAGUUAUGGAAAGCUCAGGAAGCUGCCCUACACUCUACCACUAUGUAAUCUGUGUAACAUUUCUCAUGGAAAGAGUGGAAAGAGUUCUUAAUUCAGUACCCCUGACUUACAAAUAUCGAACCAGACAAGUAGGG
rnacentral:lncRNA from 1 species